rnacentral:rRNA from 1 species
AUUGAACGAUGGCGGCAGGCUUAACACAUGCAAGUCGAGCGAGCGGCGGACGGGUGAGUAAUGUCUGGGAAACUGCCUGAUGGAGGGGGAUAACGACUGGAAACGGUAGCUAAGACCGCAUACCAUCAGAUGUGCCAAGAUGGGAUUAGCUAGUAGGUGGGGUAAUGGCUCACCUAGGCGACGAUCCCUAGCUGGUCUGCGAGGAUAACCAGCCCAACUGGAACUGAGCACCAGUCCCUACUCCUACGGAAGGCAUCAGUGGGGAAUAUUGCACAAUGGGCGAAAGCCUGAUGCAGCCAUGCCGCGUGUGUGAAGAAGGCCUUCGGGUUGUAAAGCACUUGCAGCGAGGAGGCGUUACUCGCAGAAGAAGCACCGGCUAACUCCGUGCCAGCAGCCGCGGUAAUUC